rnacentral:lncRNA from 1 species
CGGGAGCCUGCCUGCCUGCCUUCAAGUGUCUGUGCUGAUAUCUGUUUGUCUGUAUGGGAAGGCAGGCUACAGGCAGGCUCCUCAGGGCCAGCGGCGUGGUGCGCAGGCUAGAGUAACUGUCGUUCUCCCCUUGCUGUCCAGCCCAGGAUCAGAGUGCAGAACCCAUGGCCAGCAGCUCAAAUGAGACAGCAGCUGCUCUGCUCAGACUCGAGGGCUGUCCCCCAACAAUGGCUCACUCCACCUCAGCUCUGCCCUCUGCAAUGGAAGACACCAAGUGACAGGCCCAGGCCUUUUCCACUCUAGCCAGCCUUUAGCUGCAGGCACAGGGGCUACUGUGGACCAGUUUUUGGAACAGACAAGUGUUCUACAGCCUGCUACUGAGGCCACUGUCACUGAUGUCUGGUUCAUCUGAUCCCAAGUCGGGCUGCCCCUUCCAUGUGGCAAGAAUUGUGCUCUAACUGGAUCGUGGCCCUACCCUGCUCCCUGCCUGAGUGAGGCAGACAGGGCAGGGGCCCAGAGUCACCAAGAAGAUGCUUGCUCACUGUGAGGGGUGCCCAAGCUGACGAGCUCGCUGUGUCAGUUACCCAGAGAGAUGGACUGCUUUGCUUUUUAACCAAGAGCCUGGAAUGACAGAUGACCUUGGAG